AACGAACGCUGGCGGCAGGCUUAACACAUGCAAGUCGAACGCUCGUAGCAAUACGGGAGUGGCGGACGGGUGAGUAACGCGUGGGAACGUACCCUGAGGUACGGAAUAACCGAGGGAAACUUCGGCUAAUACCGUAUGAGCCCCGCAAGGGGGAAAGAUUUAUCGCCUUGGGAGCGGCCCGCGUCGGAUUAGCUAGUUGGUGGGGUAACGGCCUACCAAGGCUUCGAUCCGUAGCUGGUCUGAGAGGACGAUCAGCCACACUGGGACUGAGACACGGCCCAGACUCCUACGGGAGGCAGCAGUGGGGAAUCUUGCGCAAUGGGGGCAACCCUGACGCAGCCAUGCCGCGUGAACGAUGAAGGCCUUAGGGUUGUAAAGUUCUUUUACCCGUGACGAUGAUGACGGUAACGGGGGAAUAAGCUCCGGCUAACUUCGUG
rnacentral:rRNA from 1 species